GCUGGUCAAGGUUUGAGGCUCCAUUUCUUGUAUCUCCUUGCUUAGACCAACAGCUGUCUCAUUAGCUCCAGGGGAAGGCAGACAGAUCCUGCUGCCCAGCCCAAGGUGAAGACUGAUGUGUGCAGCCACUGACAGUGAGUACUUUGUCUACAGGGAGGGGGAAACCAUGCUGCUUUUCAUUGAUGCUACUCUUCCUCAUUGUGAGAAGAAAGGGUUGAAAUCUUCUGAUAAACAUUUGGAUUUAGAAACCUGCUACUUGUGAUUGAAGUCUUGGUUUUGAUUGUACAAGUUUUACAUCAGCUUUAAAGACAUAGAGGGUUUAUUUAUGAUGAAUCCCAGCUGAGAGCUAAUGACAUUAAAGGAUUUUGGUUCUUGAUUUUUCUAAAGACUAUUCAGAUUAGGUAAAAUAUUUAAAUAAAACUUCACAGAUGUUACUUUUCAAAAAGGAAAGCCAGUUUUCAGUUUGUAGAAGCAUCUAUUAGAACUAAUUUUGUGUAUAACCCACUGUACAAAAACCUUUUUGCUGCAAAGUGUAUUUCUUCCAGAGACAAAAUUUCCCCUAAAAUGCUGCUACAGGUAAUGUUCAUAACUUUUAUCUUUAAUUGCUGCUUUAAGUGGCAACUGCAUUGGAAAGAACCCAAAUGUCCUUUGAAACAGAUUAAAGUUUAAUUGUAGAGGGAAGAGUAGAAUUAAUAAAUGCCCAGCUGUGUUUCUUGAUCUCUUUUUUGGCUUGUAAGUUAGAAAAGAUAAAAAGAGGCAAUCACUCUUUAAGCAUAUAAUUAAUUUAAAUAUUGGAAUAACUUAGCAUUCAUUAAUGCAUCUCUCUUUUACCUCCUCAUUUUACGUCUUUGUUUAUCUUAUUAAAAAAUGUGUGCAGUCUGUUGAUUUCAUCUAUGUCCAGUGUGUUGCUGAAAAGGAAAGAAAACAAUUUUAGUUUUGCCAUUAGUAAAACAAAUACACUGAAAUUUGUAUGCUGGCUUUUGCUUUUGUGGACAAAGGCAUUUUGAUUUUUAAGGAAAAUAUCAGUGGCUAAUGAUAUCUAGCCUCUUUGACUUACACUGGUGGUGAUGUCUUCAUUCGUCAGAACAAAUGAUAAAUCUCCCCUUGCUGCAGAACAUUGUUGUGCUUUCUCAACCAGCCAUUUUAAUUUUCAGGUUGACAGCCAGUCAAAAAGAAUCCAUUAUGGAUAAUCAAAGCUCAUUUGAGAUAGUCUUUGCCCCUAAAAUGAUGAGCUGAACUAGCUAGAAGUAAGAGGAAAGGUAUUUGUGCUGUAAUACACUGUUUUGGGUGACUCCUGGUUGUCACUCCACAUGCUGACCCAUACCUGGGUCUUCCCUGCACUGCUGACCUCAACCUCUUUAUCCACUUUGUCAAGUCAAGACAGAGAUCCUGUCCUACACAGUGUGGAUGGGUGAGAGAAGGGUUCACCAGCAUGGUUUGGGACUUACUGUGACUAAGCAACAUUCCCAUUUAGCAUUUCAGUUCUGCCAAGGCAGGGUACGUGACAGACUUUUAUUCUUGGGCAUAGACACAGCCUCUGUGAGUUUCCUUGGGUUGGUCUGGGAAAAAAAAAAACCCUCUGAUUGCCUGCAUGCCAGUGUGCCCUGGACCUGAAAUUAUUAGAGAUUAAUCAAUACCAAUAAUUACCAAGGAAUUCCUCUGUGAUUUAAGGCUUGCUAGUUUUGCAGUGAGACUUUUCAGAUACAGGUUGUAAAUGUGGCACCAUAGAUAGCACUUUGCAAAUUCACAUUGGUUCUGAAGUUUAUGACAAGGAUCACAGCAGCUCUACCAAGACAAGAAUUAGAGUAGGUACUGCAGUGAGGAGAUAGAGGUUCUACAACUACUCCAUGAAAUAAAGAUGCUAAUGCAUGGGUCUGACCUGGGGUUUUAAGUAGCCUGGGGCUCCCCACACAAUCUGCAUGUGGGUUGCCAACCUGUGUCAUCUUGGAGUAAAGUGAGAAAAUCUGUUACCUUCAGUUGAGUCUUCUAGGGACACAAAAAAGAAAAACUCUUUAUCAGGAUGAAUCUCAUAUAUGUGCAUAAACAUACAUAUGUAUGUGCAUGCAUAUAUUUUGUGUGUAUUUUUAUAUAUAUAUAUAUAUAUAUAUAUAUAUAUAUAUAUAUAUAUAUAAUACACAUACAUAUGUCUGUAUGCAUUUUCCUUAGAAAAAAGACAUCCUCUUGGUGGCCUGUUGGUUAGGUCACACAGUUCAAAUUAAAAGACAAGGUCAAGUCCUUGCCCUGAACCAGACAGGUUGUCCACAGGGUAAUGAUUUUACAUUUCUGCAAUUUCACAGUUUUCAUGCCAGUGUAAGAACCAGACCAGGUCAUUCAGGAGGAUGUGGAGGCUUCUGUACACAGCAUGCGCUAAGAGCUAACACUGCCCUCCUCUCAAUACUGCAAUAUUUCCUUUGUUAGUUCUGCUUCUUUACAUGGAAAGAAACAAUAAUAUUUUCUUUUUAACUGUAGACUUACAGCUACAUUUUAAAUCUUACAGUACCUCACAAUAUCAUUAUAAAAGGAUAUUGCUUUUUUCAUAAACCAGAUUUAAUUCCUUUUUGUUUGUAAGACGAUACUGCAUGUCCUUGUCUAACAAGAACAGCGUGAUUCCUUGGAAAAAGGUAAUUUGAAAUAUUUUGCUAACAGGAUGGUUAUGAUUUUUCUUGUUUGCACUGUUUUGUGGUCCAAACUUUUAACAGUAUUUUUCUCUAUGUGGAAUUAUUUUCAAAAAUAUUUUUGUAGCUUAUACACUUCAACUGAUUCUGUUAAGAACAAUCAUAGAAAAUUGUAUUUAUUUCCUCAUGGUCAUUUCCCCAGUCUCAAAAUGAGGUGUUCCUCACUCCAGGUGUCCAUGUGAAAAAAUGCAAACAAAAAAAAAUGAAAAGAUGAAUUCUCACUUGACAAUACCUGUUUUAUAUUUUCUUAAAGUGCAAUCUUUAGCGAUGUCAAUGGAGAAAAAGAAGAAUGACGUUCAGGUUGUUGUUUUAAGAUUUUAUUUUAUCUUCAUUAAGGGAAUAAAUAUUCUGUGUUUACUUCUAUCUAUCUGCUUUUGGUUUAGGCAUUCUGUUUUUUCUGUUUCUCACAUUCUGAAUGAGCUUUUAGUGUGAGUUUGUUAAGUGCAGGCAGAAAUAAAUGGUUGAUUUGUAAGCAAAAUGCUAUCCUGCAACUUAAUCUGUUAUUCCAACAACAACAACAAAAAAAUUCUUCCUCUCUUACAUUGCCAAGUCUAGAAAGCCUUAUUGCAGAGAGUCUGUAAAGCCUGUAUACAGAAAGGUUUGUAAAUUGAGUAGUGUGGUAAAAUGCCAUCUUCUAACAUUAGCAAACCCCACAGCAAUGUUUUCUGUGUGCAAUGGUAAUGACUUAAUGCAGCAAUUGCACUAAGCUGCUCUGGUGGAUUCAGCAAGUCCUGGAGUUUUCAAUCUUCAACCAAGAGUUUUGCAAUCUCUGUGAGUUCAAUAUUUCAACAAUAAAGAUCCUUGAUAAUGUCUGUGCAUUAACAACACACACUCUUAUCCAGUGUCAGGUAUGGUAUAUGCAAUAGAAGGUGGUAUGGUUGGUGAAGGCUGGGCAAAACACUUGUUUUUCCCUCUGGAAACUUUGGCAAAGCUAAAGGAUAAAAUUAUGUUUGCCAAAAAUCUUCUCAGAGAACCCAAAAUCUUAUUUUUAUAAUGUUUUUGGCCUUUCAUUAAAUGAAAGCACUUUUCUGUACCACUCACUGUCCUUGUGAUGGACAGCUGGACAACAGCUUCUAUACGGCUGGGUGGCACCACAAGAGGUAUGUGUGGGAGGGGGUGCGGCUGAUGGCCCCCUUGCUUUGCCUUGGGAGGCAACUGACGUUUAGUUUCCCGCCUCCCCCGGUUGUCAGUCUUUUGUUAUCCCGUCCCCCUGUUCCUGUCUAUCAUUAUGUACUCCUUCCCCCAGUUCUGGAAAGUUCUAAAUUCUCUGUAUCCCCAUUGGUUCUCCCCCUGAAGCCACUCCUUCCCCUUGUCCCAGUUGGCUGUUGCCCUGUCGCUCUUCCCUGACUCCGCCCCCAAGCCCUCACCUCGUUGGUUGUUUCGUACCCUGACCCUCCUUCCUGGUUGCUGUUAUAAUCCCUGCCCCGCCCCUAGUUCGGGGCUCUUGGAGCUGGCUACCCUUCCGAGCAGUUGCUUCCCUUCAUCUCUCACCUCUCUCUCCUUCACUUGAACCCUUGGAAAUAAAUCCACCCGUGAGUCACCCGCCUUUGGUUGAAGCUUGCUAUUUCUUCAACAAUCCAGCGCCUGCGGACCGGACCAUAGUGGUUCCAAGACCCAGGCGCCUCAAGUAUGCACUCUCAGUCUUCUCCUAUAAGAAAUAGUAGGGCCAUACCAUAAAUGAAUGGUUAUUUGUACAGCAGUUCUGUGCAAAACUUUUGGGGUGCUGGAACUAUUAGUCAACAUAUUGAAGAAUCAACCAGAAAUAAAAUAUGUGGGUUAACAAUGGACAGUGGGAAUCCUCAGUGGGAAGUCUUGGCAAGGCUGAACUGUGAUCUCAAAGUAGUGGUGGCAUGCUUACAUAAAUUUAGAGUUAUCCUUGUCCCAGAGCCUUGAUAUAACAUAGAAAAGAAGUUCCGUGGGGAUCCAGCUUGUUUUCCCAGUUUUAAAAUUGUGUAGCUUUGGGUUGUUAUACGAAAACUGGAAAGCUCAGGCAUUUAAAAUGUAGAACAAAAUUUGUAGAGCCUUUCAACUGUAAGUUAUAAGUGGAACUUCAUUUACUUAUUUAAGGUCAAAGGUGAUCAGAACAAAAGAACGAAUUUUAUACAGGAAAAAAACAUGCUAAUGUGCCUGGUUUCAUGAAAAGAGAUUAAUUUCCUGAACUGACACAUGGAGCAGAGUCAGUCAGCAUACACAAAUUUGUAAGUGGGAGGUGGUGGUGGUGGUGGUGCAGAAAGCAAAGAAAAAAACCUGUGGAGACUCUUCUUCUCUUCUUGGUGGUAAGUCCAAUAUUAUCUCUGUGAAAAGAAUUAACAUUUGGUGAUAUUCAAUAAUAUUUCACACUAAAGCAAAUCUGAGUGAUUCACAGCCAUUUCUUCUUCACAUUCAUGGAAGGAUAUUUUUAGUAAAUGCUUCAAAAAUUUACUUUGAAAACUUACAGAGAAAAUUGAAUAAGAUUUUCUUCUAAGGCUCCUCAGAGUUUGAUCACACUAAUGUGACCAAUCUGCUAUAAAUGUAUGGAUUGCUAAAGAUUUCACCAGUUUAAUAUUUAAUUUUUAUUGCAAUAUUUUAUAUAUAUACAUUUGUGUGUUUUCUUUUUGUGCCUGGGUGCUCUGUCUGUACUGAUAAAACCAAAAUGGUUUUUCUGCAGCAAAAACUUAACAGGGAAGCUUGUGCAGUCUCAAUAUCUUUGUAUGGAAUUUGUUUCUUUGAUUUUCUCUGCCUGUGACAAAUUAAACCCUGCUUGCACAAUUUCAGGGACUCUGAGUUGUUCUAAAAUGCAUUACAAGAAGGCAUACUUCAGGCAUACAUGUUCUUGUGCCCACCUGGUGAUCAGUGAGUUUCUUAACUCUUGUUGAAUCCUCUCAAAUAUAAGUAAUGCUACUACUGACACUCUAGUCCCUACCCUAGUUAUUUAUGGAAUAUUGUAUUUCAGAAAUGAAUGCAUUUCUGUUGUAUAAAUAUGUAUGAACUAUUGAAGGGUUAUCAUAUCUGCCAUUACUGUGUUACUUUAGCAGUUGAAAAUGCUGAUGGGGGAUUUGAACCCCCUUGUGCCCAGAAUUUUGCAGUUUCAGGAUACAAUACUGAUUGUCUACAAAGUUACAUUAUAGGUGUGCUUCACUCUUAGGCAGAAGGCAUUAAUAUAACUAAUGUUAUCUGAUAUUAAUAGCCCUAACACUGUCAUUUUGCCCAAAUCCCAAAGUUCUUAUUAUGGCUGAUCAUUCUGAGAAAUUCCUUCCCUGUAAUUCACAUGGGUCCUUUGAAAGUAUGGUUUUCAAAACCUUUGUUUUGAAUGGUGACUAAAGGAAGCUGAAAUAUUCGUCCUUUUCAUUAAAGAUCUCAUUGUUUAAGAUUAUGCAGGUAAACGAAAGCUGAAAGCCUGAACUCUGAUGGUAGCACUUCAUAAAAGAGGUGAAGAGUAAAGUGUAUUGCCUUGUCAGCAAGGACCUGUUUUUUUAAAGCGCCUGGAUCUGCCUUUGUGUAUGUUAAAUAAAUGCUUAUUUAAUGCCUGAAUAUUGUUUUAGGACCAAAAACACAAUAAAAAAAGGUCUGUUUUGUAAGAGACUGCUAAAACUGAAUUCUAACUUGUAUUUUUUGUUCUUUCUGAAGAACUGUGCUAAGAAAGUUUACAUAAUAAAAAAUUGCUUUCUUAUUUUUAUCAAGCUUCUCAACAGGAGCUAAUAAUAGCUGUAACAGGUAAUUUUGUCCUUUUGCAGAGAAUAGGAAAAACUCUGAGUUUCUUGUUCAGUACACUGUGCGCGGUCAAGCACUUUGUACUCCCCUAUCGUUGCUAAAAAACACCCCCACUUUUUAAAGAGAUAUUGUUGCUUCUUACAAUAACAUAAACCUAGACCUGUAAUAACUGGAGUUGCUGAAAUGGUUUCUAAUAGAAAAACAAUCGAUCCAAAAUAUUGUUUUGGCCUGAUUUCUUCAAUGUGUUUGUGGAAAACAUUCCAGUGAGUUGCAGUAUUUUCUGGUUUGAUUUUACUUCUACAUGUUAUAUUAUGAGAUGCUGAAGUCUGUAUAUUUCAAUUUUAUUGAACCUUCUUGACUUUGUUGAUGAAGAAACAAUAUCAGAUUUUGAAAAGUCUGCAUGACAGACUGUACCUGGAACUAAAGUGUUCUGUGCUCUUUGUGACUCAAAUUUCUGCAAACAGUGCUGCACUGAAAGCUUGGGGUACUGCUUCUGUUCUUGUUAUCUGUAAAUUAGCUUCACGUUCCCUCCUUUCACUCAACACUGCUUUGAUCAUAGUUGUUAAAACAACAGUUCUGACCUUCUCUAAUUUUCUAAGUUACUUGAGUAGCUGGCCUCAUUGCUACUUCUAAUGCUCUUACCGAGAGGGAACAUUUGCAGCACCAGGGCUUUGCCUUCCUGUAAUUCAAAGGUGUUACUAUGGCUGUGAAAAUAUACUUGAGUUAUUUUAAAAUCAAUUAUGUUGGGCACAGUUAGAACACAAGUUUGCUAAACAGGGCAGGGUCUAUAGGCAUCCCAGAGCAUGGUGUUAAAACAAUUAACUUCCAGCAAAGUUCAUUAGUUUAGGUUCGCAGUGUAUAUCUCAGCAAGGCAGACUGGCCUGGCCAGCUCUGUGCUGAAGCAAGACAGAGGUCUCUAGUCUGGUUUUGUGAACUGAUGUGGAGGGGGUGUGCAGGAAAAAGAAAAAGUUAGGUUUGUCUCGACCUUCUUGUGUGCUAUAUCGGCAAUAUUUGCAAUAUUUGCUUAGCAUAUGGGUUUAAAUGGGUAAAAUAGCUGAUUUAUUUUAAGAUGAGUGAAAUUGAGUGAAAUACAAAACCCUGUAAAUAUGUGAUUUUGUUUACCGUGUUGACUUUGAAAGUUAUAAAUGCAAACCACAUUCUUGUCCCAGAUGUGAAUCCAAGUUUUAAGUCCUCAGAAUUUUGUUUCCUUUUGCCCAGCCAUAUAAAUGAUUUCUUUAGUCUGAGAUAUACAUUUUAUGAACAGUUUAUUUUCUAUACAAAUAUACUUGCAGGAAAGCUUUCUGUAUUGCAGAAAAAUGUUUUCUAUAUUCAGAAACAUUAUUCUAAACUGAAAAGAUGUCUGCAAAAAUGGAUGUUCCAGUAUUUAAUUAAUUCAAUAUUUAAUUUUAAUUUUUUUUCAGUAUUUUAUUUAUAUGCAUUUAUCCUUCCACAUUUCUUUUGGAAAAUUAAAUUAGUACUUUUUCUAAUUUGUUUACUAAAUUUUUAAUAUUUUAUUUAAGCUCCAAAACUGUUCUAGAGAGGAUUAGGUGAGCUGCUGAAUUUUGUUAGUCAGGUUGCUAUAGCUUGACUUGACCAUAAUGACUUGCAGAUGAAGUUUUACAAGGAAAAUACUUUUAUAUGAAUCCUUCUUGUUUUCAGUUCUUUUUAUUUCUUCCUCUCUAAAUUCUUCUCUGUAAACCAGAAACCUUGGGACAGAUGAACUCAUGUCUAGUUGAUCUCUGUUCUUUCAUAAAGUAGCUAUAUACUUUUAACUCAAAUUCUACUGCGCAAAUUAGAGAUGCACUAUUUUCUCUGAGGUGUAGUGAGAAUAUACUCCAUGUGUCUUAAAAACAUCUGCCAUAGUUGUAGACAUAUAAACGUUGAAAACAAGGGAGAGUAAAAGAGCACCACCACAAUGUAGGUUUGGGAUUACCUAAUGAGGUCCACUGAUUCCAAAUGAAAUGCCUCCAGGCAGAAAAGGCACCUGUCUGCUUUCUACAGAUGCUACUGAGGUGAGCUCAGUGACAACCACUGACAGAAAUUCAGGUGAAAGUACAAACACACUAGUGCAUUACUGAUAGUUCCCCCUGGCAAACUUACAGUACAUUACCUAAUUACCUACUUGCUUUAUGUUACCAGAACUGUGUAAGCUUACACAGUUAAAAACCAAAUAAAAACUCAACCAGCUUCUAUGUACAGAUAAUAAUUAUAUGAUAAUCACUCAUAUAUCAUCUUGCAAUACAAAUAUGAGUUUUACUGUCUCUUCGAUCUUUUGAUUGUUGCCUUGUGGAAACAUGCACAAACCUCAGUUAUCAGCCAUUCAUUCUGAAGUUAGUAUUUUGAAAGAGAAUACAUAAUGAUGGUCAUUGCUUUAAAUUUGUUGGUUUACAGCUAAGGUUUUAUGACAGAUAGCCACACUUUAAUAUAAUGUUUUAUUUAGGAGAAUAAACAAAGUUAUAAAGUUAUUGAGCAUUUUGAUUUCUGUGUUCUUGGAAGAUCAGUCUGUUAUUUUGUGGGGAUUUUGGUUUUUUUAUGUGAGGAUCAGCAUUAAAGUCUUAAACCUUCAUGACCUUUGACUGUAAUGGUUGGUUUAAGCACUUAUGUGGCUUUCAUCGGUAAGGAAAAAGAUGUUUAAAAGAUGUUUCAAGCCAUCCAGACUAA
ensembl:lncRNA